UGGCUCAAUAGGUAGAGCAUGUGACUCUUGAUCUCAGGGUUGUAGGUUCAAGCCCCAU
rnacentral:tRNA from 1 species